rnacentral:rRNA from 1 species
GGGCGUAAAGCGCAUGCAGGUGGUGGAUUAAGUCAGAUGUGAAAGCCCGGGGCUCAACCUCGGAACCGCAUUUGAAACUGGUUCACUAGAGUACUGUAGAGGGGGGUAGAAUUUCA